GCCAUAAAUUUUUGCCCAAUCUUUCCUUGGGCGAGUUUAGUUGUCGCCUCGAAAGGUUGGAAAGAGACGGCAGCAGGUCCAGCGUACCGAGUUAUCCUUCGGAAUUGUGCAAUCACGAAUGUGCACGAAGAAAUUUCGGGAAAUGGCGAAUCUCAGGAUUGUCCGGGAUUCACUUUCCUUAAUCUGAGGGAACAUAGAUUCUGCCAUUUCGUCUGUGAACAGCCAGUGUAUAGGAAGUGUGCGCGUUUGUUAGUUUAUUCGUUUGUCUAAUAAAUUAGUAGUAAAGUGUGCGUAGUCAGGAUUUGUGUGCGAUAGUUAAGAUAAAGCCAACGAUAUAAGCCGUUUGGCUAUUUUCAUUCGCAGCAAUCGGACUCGCACCCAAGCGUGCGAAUUUCC